rnacentral:rRNA from 1 species
AGAGUUUGAUCAUGGCUCAGAUUGAGCGCUGGCGGCAGGCCUAACACAUGCAAGUCGAGCGGAUGAAGGGAGCUUGCUCCUGGAUUCAGCGGCGGACGGGUGAGUAAUGCCUAGGAAUCUGCCUGGUAGUGGGGGAUAACGUCCGGAAACGGGCGCUAAUACCGCAUACGUCCUGAGGGAGAAAGUGGGGGAUCUUCGGACCUCACGCUAUCAGAUGAGCCUAGGUCGGAUUAGCUAGUUGGUGGGGUAAAGGCCUACCAAGGCGACGAUCCGUAACUGGUCUGAGAGGAUGAUCAGUCACACUGGAACUGAGACACGGUCCAGACUCCUACGGGAGGCAGCAGUGGGGAAUAUUGGACAAUGGGCGAAAGCCUGAUCCAGCCAUGCCGCGUGUGUGAAGAAGGUCUUCGGAUUGUAAAGCACUUUAAGUUGGGAGGAAGGGCAGUAAGUUAAUACCUUGCUGUUUUGACGUUACCAACAGAAUAAGCACCGGCUAACUUCGUGCCAGCAGCCGCGGUAAUACGAAGGGUGCAAGCGUUAAUCGGAAUUACUGGGCGUAAAGCGCGCGUAGGUGGUUCAGCAAGUUGGAUGUGAAAUCCCCGGGCUCAACCUGGGAACUGCAUCCAAAACUACUGAGCUAGAGUACGGUAGAGGGUGGUGGAAUUUCCUGUGUAGCGGUGAAAUGCGUAGAUAUAGGAAGGAACACCAGUGGCGAAGGCGACCACCUGGACUGAUACUGACACUGAGGUGCGAAAGCGCGGGGAGCAAACAGGAUUAGAUACCCUGGUAGUCCACGCCGUAAACGAUGUCGACUAGCCGUUGGGAUCCUUGAGAUCUUAGUGGCGCAGCUAACGCGAUAAGUCGACCGCCUGGGGAGUACGGCCGCAAGGUUAAAACUCAAAUGAAUUGACGGGGGCCCGCACAAGCGGUGGAGCAUGUGGUUUAAUUCGAAGCAACGCGAAGAACCUUACCUGGCCUUGACAUGCUGAGAACUUUCCAGAGAUGGAUUGGUGCCUUCGGGAACUCAGACACAGGUGCUGCAUGGCUGUCGUCAGCUCGUGUCGUGAGAUGUUGGGUUAAGUCCCGUAACGAGCGCAACCCUUGUCCUUAGUUACCAGCACCUCGGGUGGGCACUCUAAGGAGACUGCCGGUGACAAACCGGAGGAAGGUGGGGAUGACGUCAAGUCAUCAUGGCCCUUACGGCCAGGGCUACACACGUGCUACAAUGGUCGGUACAAAGGGUUGCCAAGCCGCGAGGUGGAGCUAAUCCCAUAAAACCGAUCGUAGUCCGGAUCGCAGUCUGCAACUCGACUGCGUGAAGUCGGAAUCGCUAGUAAUCGUGAAUCAGAAUGUCACGGUGAAUACGUUCCCGGGCCUUGUACACACCGCCCGUCACACCAUGGGAGUGGGUUGCUCCAGAAGUAGCUAGUCUAACCGCAAGGGGGACGGUUACCACGGAGUGAUUCAUGACUGGGGUGAAGUCGUAACAAGGUAGCCGUAGGGGAACCUGCGGCUG